rnacentral:rRNA from 1 species
CAGUAGCCGCGGUAAUACGAAGGGGGCUAGCGUUGUUCGGAAUUACUGGGCGUGAAGCGCACGUAGGCGGAUAUUUAAGUCAGGGGUGAAAUCCCGCAGCUCAACUGCGGAACUGCCUUUGAUACUGGGUAUCUUGAGUAUGGAAGAGGUUAGUGGAAUUGCGAGUGUAGAGGUGAAAUUCGUAGAUAUUCGCAGGAACACCAGUGGCGAAGGCGGCUAACUGGUCCAUAACUGACGCUGAGGUGCGAAAGCGUGGGGAGCAAACAGGAUUAGAUACCCCUGUAGUCCCUGUCUCUUAUAC